GACGAACGCUGGCGGCGUGCUUAACACAUGCAAAUCGAACGGUAAGGCCCUUCGGGGUACACGAGUGGCGAACGGGUGAGUAACACGUGGGUGAUCUGCCCUGCACUUCGGGAUAAGCCUGGGAAACUGGGUCUAAUACCGGAUAGGACCACUGCCUGCAUGGAUGGUGGUGGAAAGCUUUUGCGGUGUGGGAUGGGCCCGCGGCCUAUCAGCUUGUUGGUGGGGUGAUGGCCUACCAAGGUGACGACGGGUAGCCGGCCUGGGAGGGUGACCGGCCACACUGGGACUGGGAUACGGCCCAGACUCCUACGGGAGGCAGCAGUGGGGAAUAUUGCACAAUGGGCGCAAGCCUGAUGCGGCGAGGCCGCGUGAGGGAUGACGGCCUUCGGGUUGUAAACCUCUUUCAGCACCGACGAAGCGCAAGUGACGGUAGGUGCAGAAGAAGGACCGGCCAACUACGUGCCAGCCGCCGCCGUAA
rnacentral:rRNA from 1 species